AUAGAACGCUGGCGGCAUACCUUACACAUGCAAGUCGACCGGCAGCACGGGUGCUUGCACCUGAUGGCGAGUGGCGAACGGGUGAGUAAUACAUCGGAACGUACCUUAUCGUGGGGGAUAACGCAGCGAAAGCAGUGCUAAUACCGCAUACGCCCUGAGGGGGAAAGCGGGGGAUCGCAAGACCUCGCGCGAUUAGAGCGGCCGAUGCCUGAUUAGCUUGUUGGUGGGGUAAAAGCCCACCAAGGCGACGAUCAGUAGCUGGUCUGAGAGGACGAUCGGCCAAAAGGGGAAUGAGACACGGCCCAGACUCCUACGGGAGGCAGCAGUGGGGAAUUUUGGACAAUGGGGGCAACCCUGAUCCAGCAAUGCCGCGCGAGUGAAGAAGGCCUUCGGGUUGUAAAGCUCUUUUGUCAGGGAAGAAACACCGGCUCUAACACAGUCCGGGAAUGACGGUACCUGAAGAAUAAGCACCGGCUAACUACGUGCCAGCCGCCGCAGUAA
rnacentral:rRNA from 1 species